rnacentral:lncRNA from 1 species
UGAAUCCACUAAAAUGCAUAAUUUUAAGACCACAAGUGAUGAAACAAAAUAGAACAGAUUCAAACUAAAGCAUAAGAGCAUAAGUUAAAAUCCAAAAAGUCUAUAGUGUCAAAAAAAAACACAUACUCGUACAGAUUCAGAAGUCAAGAUCUACCAAAUCGAAAGAAAAUACAAAACACACAAAUUAUUAGAUCCUAUAGAAGUUUUAAAAAAAUAGAAGCACCAAACUUGAAGAAAAAGAACAUUGAAAACACAUUAAAAUUGAAGCUUAAGAGCACAAGUUAAAAUCCAAAUGGCUAUAGAAUCCACUAAAGUACAUAUCUGUACACAUAUCUAUACAUACUCAUAUGUCAAAAUCUACCGAAAUUGAAAGAAAUAUACAAACCACAAAAGUGAUUAGAUACUACAGAAAGGAAAAAAGCACAAAAUUUGAAGAAAAAUGACACUGAAAACACAUUAAGAACUGAAGCAUAAAAUCAGCACAAGUUAAAAUCCAAAUGACAAUAGAAUCCACUAAAGCACAGACCUAUUUUUUACUGAUUCAGAAGUUAAUAUCUACCAAAACUGAAGGAAAUAUACAAACCCCACAAAUCAUUAGAUAUUAUAUAAAGGAAAAAAGCACAAGAUUUGAAAAGAAAAGGAACAAUGAAAACACCUUAAAACUGAAGGUUAAGAUCUUCCUGCUAGCACCUUGCCUUCUUUUUCUCUUAAUCUUCAAAC